GGACCGCUGUCAGCCGCCAGCAAGACUUAUCUGUCCACCCACCAACGGUUUAUCGUCUCUCCACGCCGCCCCUGGAUCCUUCUCUGCUCCUAUGGCUGAACUGGUUAUCCAUUCCAGACUCCUGCUCCGUGUUUUUCUCCUACAGCUUUCCCCCCCUUCAAAUAAACUUUAUUGUUGUUUGUA